UAAAUUCCAGUUUUUGAAUGUAAUCAAUCGAGAAAAACUGUAAUGCGGCCCUACCUCACCUGCUCAUGGGGAGCCUAUGUAUCCUGUCUGGAGCAGCCGCCAUCCUGCUGCCAGAGAGCUUCAGAAAGCCUCUCCCAGAGACCAUAGACCAGAUGCAUCAAAUGGAGUGGAAUAAAUGCUCAUGCCACUCCAAAGAAGAGGACCCGAGUGGGGACACAGAACAUUAAUACAGUGGUGUUGGAGGUCAAACUAUGAACAACUUUGGUAUGCCAUCUUGACUUAAGUACAAACAAAGACAGACAUAUAUUUCACAAAAUAUUCAAUUUUGCAUUUUACAAAAUCAUCAAAUACUUCAAGGUUGUCAAGACACAAAGAAUCAUGCAACUCAGUAAAAUGUCAAUCACAUGUUUUAUCCUGCACUCAGUCUAAUUUAUUAUUAUUAAAAAGGCUAUUUUAAAACA